rnacentral:rRNA from 1 species
GAUGAACGCUGGCGGCGUGCCUAAUACAUGCAAGUCGAGCGAACGGACGAGAAGCUUGCUUCUCUGAUGUUAGCGGCGGACGGGUGAGUAACACGUGGAUAACCUACCUAUAAGACUGGGAUAUCUUCGGGAAACCGGAUCUAAUACCGGAUGAUAUUUUGAACCGCAUGGUUCAAAAGUGAAAGACGGUCUUGCUGUCUCUUAUAGAUGGAUCCGCGCUGCAUUAGCUAGUUGGUAAGGUAACGGCUUACCAAGGCAACGAUGCAUAGCCGACCUGUGAGGGUGAUCGGCCACACUGGAACUGAGACACGGUCCAGACUCCUACGGGAGGCAGCAGUAGGGAAUCUUCCGCAAUGGGCGAAAGCCUGACGGAGCAACGCCGCGUGAGUGAUGAAGGUCUUCGGAUCGUAAAACUCUGUUAUUAGGGAAGAACAUAUGUGUAAGUAACUGUGCACAUCUUGACGGUACCUAAUCAGAAAGCCACGGCUAACUACGUG